CGCGUGAGAAUCUGACUUUUGGUCGGGGACAACCACUGGAAACGGUGGCUAAUACCGGAUAAGCCUUUGGGUGAAAGAUUAAUUGCCAGAAGAGGAGCUCGCGUCUGAUUAGCUAGUUGGUGGGGUAAAGGCUUACCAAGGCAGCGAUCAGUAGCUGGUCUGAGAGGACGAUCAGCCACACUGGGACUGAGACACGGCCCAGACUCCUACGGGAGGCAGCAGUGGGGAAUUUUCCGCAAUGGGCGAAAGCCUGACGGAGCAAUACCGCGUGAGGGAGGAAGGCUCUUGGGUUGUAAACCU
rnacentral:rRNA from 1 species